UACGUAGGGUGCAAGCGUUGUCCGGAAUUAUUGGGCGUAAAGAGCUUGUAGGCGGUUUGUCGCGUCUGCCGUGAAAGUCCGGGGCUCAACUCCGGAUCUGCGGUGGGUACGGGCAGACUAGAGUGAUGUAGGGGAGACUGGAAUUCCUGGUGUAGCGGUGAAAUGCGCAGAUAUCAGGAAGAACACCCGUGGCGAAGGCGGCUCUCUGGGACGGUACUGACGCUGAGACGCGAAAGCGUGGGGAGCGAACAGG
rnacentral:rRNA from 1 species